rnacentral:rRNA from 1 species
UACGAAGGGGGCUAGCGUUGCUCGGAAUUACUGGGCGUAAAGCGCACGUAGGCGGCUUCUUAAGUCGGUGGUGAAAUCCUGGGGCUCAACUCCAGAACUGCCUUCGAUACUGGGAGCUCGAGUCCGGGAGAGGUGAGUGGAACUGCGAGUGUAGAGGUGAAAUUCGUAGAUAUUCGCAAGAACACCAGUGGCGAAGGCGGCUCACUGGCCCGGUACUGACGCUGAGGUGCGAAAGCGUGGGGAGCAAACAGG